GUAGGUGGCAAGCGUUGUCCGGAAUUAUUGGGCGUAAAGCGCGCGCAGGCGGUUCGUUUAAGUCUGAUGUGAAAGCCCACGGGCUCAACCGUGGAGGGUCAUUGGAAACCGGAGAACUUGAGUACAGAAGAGGAAAGCGGAAUUCCACGUGUAGCGGUGAAAUGCGUAGAGAUGUGGAGGAACACCAGUGGCGAAGGCGGCUUUCUGGUCUGUAACUGACGCUGAGGCGCGAAAGCGUGGGGAGCAAACAGGAUUAGAUACCCUGGUAGUCCACGCCAUAAACGAUGAGUGCUAAGUGUUAGGGGGUUUCCGCCCCUUAGUGCUGCAGCUAACGCAUUAAGCACUCCGCCUGGGGAGUACGGCCGCAAAGGCUG
rnacentral:rRNA from 1 species